GACAGAGGGUGCAAACGUUGUUCGGAAUUACUGGGCGUAAAGGGCGCGUAGGCGGCCUUCUAAGUCAGACGUGAAAUCCCCCGGCUUAACCUGGGAACUGCGUCUGAUACUGGAGGUCUUGAGUGCGGGAGAGGGAUGUGGAAUUCCAGGUGUAGCGGUGAAAUGCGUAGAUAUCUGGAGGAACACCGGUGGCGAAGGCGGCAUCCUGGACCGACACUGACGCUGAGACACGAAAGCGUGGGUAGCAAACAGG
rnacentral:rRNA from 1 species